CGCGGGGUAGUGGAGUAGUACCAUGCGAGGCCCAUAACCUUGUGACGCCGGUGCAAUUCCGGCCCCCGCAA
rfam:Candidatus Wildermuthbacteria bacterium RIFCSPLOWO2_01_FTLL_48_29 rifcsplowo2_01_scaffold_670, whole genome shotgun sequence.